GGUUGUGUAGUGUAAUGGUUAGCACCUAAGACUCUGAAUCUUAUAAUCCGAGUUCGAGUCUCGGCACGACCU
rnacentral:tRNA from 1 species